GUACUCACAGCUCAAUUCGAGCGUACUGUCUAAAUUUCUAAAUUUUAGUUUAAAUUUAUUUUUGGAAUUUUUAAUGUUUUCGAAUAUCUUUUUAUUUUAAUUUUGGUUUUCUCUUUUGGUGCCGUGAGCUGAAGUCAAAUAUAAAUUUAAGUUGCAGACGAUGCUUCGCUGUUAAGUAGAGGAUGCCACACGAAAUGGCUAAUUGGAAAAUUCGUUAAUAGUUUCUAUUUAUAUCGAAUAUCAUCAUGUAAACAUUUCUACAAGUCCUGCGGUCAACUCUAUAUAUAUAUACAUAUAUACAUACGUAUCAACAGCAACAAGAACCGACUUCUUAGGUCACGCUUACCAGUUGAGAUCAAAUAUAAACACAACACACACAGACUCAUUACAAUGAUUAACAACGAUGUAAUCAAGGCCUUCUGAGUCUGGGGCGCACAUUCUCUGGCGUAUCUGGUGGAUGUCAACGUAAACCACGAACAAAAACGCAACGGAAUAAAACAAACACUACAUUCACAAUAACAAAAUUCAAAACAAUACCAAAAUUCAAAAACAAUAUACAAAUUUAAAUACAAUUACGCAAAUACAAUUGCACAAAAAUACAAUUAGACAGAUGCAAAACAAUUACGCACACAAUCAGACACAAAAUUUUAUAUAUAUUUAUAUAUAUUCAGCAUAUUUAUGAACUCUCAUCAAUCAUCAUUACAACGCGAUUGCCACUCCAUAUAGAUUGCACAUACAAACCCAUAAAUUUAACAGUGUAGAAGCUACUACUGAUAUGCAAAUUUCAUCAAUCGCUUCCGAACGCAGACGAUUUUAAUUAGAUUUUACACAGAUUGAGGCUAACACAGAUACAAAACAGGCUUUAUAUAUUCGAUUGGUUUUCAAUUUCUAGAGAGCUCUUCCAUCCACUCUUGCUGCAGGACGGUACCACGCUAUUUGCAGGGCGUUGCAGUUGGCGUCGUGUAUGAAAUAUCUACAAAGAGAGAUCCAAUUGAAUUUACAAUGCACAGCAGCCGAUUCUCAGUUAAACACACAUGAAAAGACAAAAAAAUCAAAUAAAUACAAAUGAAACUCAAGUUUCUUUAGCCGGUGCACAGCAAUUUUAAUUAUAGUUCGUAUUAAACAAAAAAAAACGCAAAGCCGGGUUGGAUUCAGGUGUGCCAUUAACACAAUUUUAUUUUGAGGUCUUGUUUCUUUCGUUUACAGGACGGUACCACGCCCUUUCAGUUGAAACGAGGGACGCGAAGCUGGCGUCCAUUUUACCAAAAUGGAGUAAAUCUUGUUAUUACACAAAUUUUAAUAAAUUGCUACUUCUGAUGGAGAACACAC